rnacentral:lncRNA from 1 species
AUCAUUCAAAAGUCAGUUCAGAGAUUAGCCCAGAGGACCAGCUGUGGAGCUUCUCAGCAAAAGAUUCAUUGUUUCUUGACAUCUUCACCAAUUUCAGAAGAGAGUUUCAGGUCCUAUUGGACCUGAGGGAGCAGUACUCAAAGGCCUUUGAUCAGGGUGAGAUUCUGCUCUCUCUAUGUUUGACCAACUUCAAUGGGUUGCAAGGGCUUCGAUAGAGAUCUAUCUGCUUGUUGCCUCAAGACCACCAAUGUGACUAUAUAACCACCAAUAUAAUUGUGUAUCUUGUUCUGUGCCACC